CAUCCUCUCGCAGAGUGGAGGUUAUAAAUACUUUUCAGAAAUAUGCCCAAAGACUUUUAUGAGCAAUGUGUCGGAAAAAUAUCAGAAACGCCGAAAUCCAUGAGAUAUUAUGGAGAGAGACCUGCAUCUCCUGCAGACGCAAUGUCUGUGCACGCCACUCCUACUUACUCUGCCAUGAGUGCCAGUAAAACCAGUGUUCUGGCGGUUCCUGGUGGCUACUAUUGACAGUGUAUGCUGCCCAAUCAUUCUUAUCUCAGGACCAGGCAAGGAAAAUUCGUUGUACCUCUUAUAUUUUUUUAUUUUUUUGUUAUGAAAAUAAGU
rnacentral:lncRNA from 1 species